rnacentral:tRNA from 1 species
GCCCAGGUGGUGGAAUUUGGUAGACACGCUGGUUUCAGGUACCAGUGCCUUCAAAAGCAUGGAAGUUCGAGUCUUCUCCUGGGCA